rnacentral:rRNA from 1 species
GCGUGCCUACACAUGCAAGUCGAACGGGAAUCUUCGGAUUCUAGUGGCGGACGGGUGAGUAACGCGUAAGAAUCUAACUUCAGGACGGGGACAACAGUUGGAAACGACUGCUAAUACCCGAUGUGCCGAAAGGUGAAACCUAAUUGGCCUGAAGAAGAGCUUGCGUCUGAUUAGCUAGUUGGUGGGGUAAGAGCCUACCAAGGCGACGAUCAGUAGCUGGUCUGAGAGGAUGAGCAGCCACACUGGGACUGAGACACGGCCCAGACUCCUACGGGAGGCAGCAGUGGGGAAUUUUCCGCAAUGGGCGAAAGCCUGACGGAGCAACGCCGCGUGAGGGAGGAAGGUCUUUGGAUUGUAAACCUCUUUUCUCAAGGAAGAAGUUCUGACGGUACUUGAGGAAUCAGCCUCGGCUAACUCCGUGCCAGCAGCCGCGGUAAUACGGGGGAGGCAAGCGUUAUCCGGAAUUAUUGGGCGUAAAGCGUCCGCAGGUGGUCAGCCAAGUCUGCCGUCAAAUCAGGUUGCUUAACGACCUAAAGGCGGUGGAAACUGGCAGACUAGAGAGCAGUAGGGGUAGCAGGAAUUCCCAGUGUAGCGGUGAAAUGCGUAGAGAUUGGGAAGAACAUCGGUGGCGAAAGCGUGCUACUGGGCUGUAUCUGACACUCAGGGACGAAAGCUAGGGGAGCGAAAGGGAUUAGAUACCCCUGUAGUCCUAGCCGUAAACGAUGGAUACUAGGCGUGGCUUGUAUCGACCCGAGCCGUGCCGAAGCUAACGCGUUAAGU